GGUUCAAUGGUGUAGCCGGUUUAUCACGUCUGUCUCACAAUGAAUUGGACAAAAGAGGUGUGCACAGGAGGUCCCCAGUUCGAGCCUGGGUUGAAUCA